CGGAUAAGGAGCUUGCUCCUUUGAAGUUAGCGGCGGACGGGUGAGUAACACGUGGGUAACCUACCUAUAAGACUGGAAUAACUUCGGGAAACCGGAGCUAAUGCCGGAUAACAUAUAGAACCGCAUGGUUCUAUAGUGAAAGAUGGUUUUGCUAUCACUUAUAGAUGGACCCGCGCCGUAUUAGCUAGUUGGUAAGGUAAUGGCUUACCAAGGCGACGAUACGUAGCCGACCUGAGAGGGUGAUCGGCCACACUGGAACUGAGACACGGUCCAGACUCCUACGGGAGGCAGCAGUAGGGAAUCUUCCGCAAUGGGCGAAAGCCUGACGGAGCAACGCCGCGUGAGUGAUGAAGGUUUUCGGAUCGUAAAACUCUGUUAUUAGGGAAGAACAAAUGCGUAAGUAACUGUGCGCAUCUUGACGGUACCUAAUCAGAAAGCCACGGCUAACUACGUGCCAGCAGCCGCGGUAAUACGUAGGUGGCAAGCGUUAUCCGGAAUUAUUGGGCGUAAAGCGCGCGUAGGCGGUUUCUUAAGUCUGAUGUGAAAGCCCACGGCUCAACCGUGGAGGGUCAUUGGAAACUGGGAAACUUGAGUGCAGAAGAGGAAAGUGGAAUUCCAUGUGUAGCGGUGAAAUUGCGUAGAAA
rnacentral:rRNA from 1 species